AGAUUUUGUGUGUGCUAUUUUAAAUUUGUCCAAAAACCAAAUCACAUCUUUGCAAAACUCAUCACCAUGAUGCUGGAUGCUUGCUAAGGCAGACACACUGUAACUCAUUUUAAUCACAAACUUUACAAACAUCUAGUUCAGUUAAACAGCUGAUGUGUAAUUUUGUGGCCUUUGCAGUCAGGAUGAGUUCAUCAACUAUUGUUUUGUCUAUUUGUCUUGCUCUUUUUUUAAUUCCCUCGUACUUUUCCACAGGCUGGCGUUUCUAUGGCAACAGUGCUAGAGACCGGACCGGGUUUGAUGGAGCGCUGUCAAACAGUGAAAGAGAGGUCGGAUCGUGUGUGCGUGUGGCCCGUGGGAUUCUGAGGAUUGUGAUGUAUUCGAUCCUUAAAGCUCCAGGAAAUCUCCCAAAAUAACCUCACCUCUAAUCUCUCUCACAAACUCCACGACGGUAGGCCACGCUCACAACCACGGUUUGUGUGAAGUUACUGAUGUAUCGUGAGUCAUAAAGUGGUUUGAAGGCCGAGCCUGCGAUGAAGUCCCCACCGUGGAUCCAAACCAUGACAGGUAGAAGUUUGUGAAGUGGAGCUGUGAAGUUUACGCUCAGUGGAACGAAAACGUUCAGAAACUUUUAUCUUUUCACCUUCUUGGGGCAUUCAUCCGAAAGAGGUCCAGCGCAGGCCUGCAUGCAAGCUGCUCUGGGAUAGGUGCCGUCAUACACCCCUUGCCACGGGGUGACCCUGCGGGGAGGUUUCCAGCGGUACGUAGCCACAGGUGGAUCA